UAGUAGAUUGCGAUACAGCGUAACUUAA
rnacentral:piRNA from 1 species